rnacentral:rRNA from 1 species
GACGAACGCUGGCGGCGUGCUUAACACAUGCAAGUCGAACGGUAAGGCCCUUCGGGGUACACGAGUGGCGAACGGGUGAGUAACACGUGGGUGAUCUGCCCUGCACUUCGGGAUAAGCCUGGGAAACUGGGUCUAAUACCGGAUAGGACCCUGGGAUGCAUGUCCUGGGGUGGAAAGCUUUUGCGGUGUGGGAUGGGCCCGCGGCCUAUCAGCUUGUUGGUGGGGUGAUGGCCUACCAAGGCGACGACGGGUAGCCGGCCUGAGAGGGUGACCGGCCAGACGGGGACGGGGAUACGGGCCAGCCUCCUCCGGGAGGGAGCAGUGGGGGAUAUUGCACAAUGGGCGCAAGCCUGAUGCAGCGACGCCGCGAGAGGGAUGACGGCCUUCGGGUUGUAAACCUCUUUCAGCACCGACGAAGCGCGAGUGACGGUAGGUGCAGAAGAAGGACCGGCCAACUACGUGCCAGCCGCCGCCGUAA